GACACAGCAGUAGUCAUCUUCUUAUGAGUGUACUUAAAAGCAAGCACGAUAAAUUUAAAUUAAUUAUUAAUUAGAGGUGAAGGUGACAUAAUUUGCACGAAUGAAUUAUUUUUAAAUAUAAUUCUGUUCUCUAACAAUUGUUGAAGUUCCUAUAUUUGAAAACUUUUUAAGACAAAUACUUAUAUAAAUACUACAGCUUCAAUAUUCUUUAAUAAUUUUUUUUAACUGUUACACGUCUUGAAUUUAUCAUAAUCAACGUCAUUCAAGUUACAUCUAAUUAUAUUUCUGCUUACAUCUUCAGUAAACGGCGUCUGUCCUCCAACUUAUUAAUUGGAUUUAUUCCAUAAUAAGAGUGCAUCUUAAAAGCCGAUGUGAUUUGCCGCCAUUUUGAACAACUUCCAUCAAUUCCCCGAUUAUAAAGUUCUUCCUACAUGCAUCAGCCUUUGAGUAAUGCAUAUCGCAUGAUAUUAUAGAACAGACGAAUAUAGAUUAAGACUUUAGAUAUGCUUUUUCAUAAUUUCUUUGUGAUCCUGAACAAUGGUGUAAAAAAAAAAAAA